AAGGCCUGUGACAAGGACUGGAAUGCAUAACCCCAGACAUGUCACUGGAAGGCAAAAAUCACAAAACUGCAUUUCACUUAUGUUGGCCAUGUCAUGUGAGGAAAUUCACUGGAGAAAGCAAUUAUGCAUGGAAGAGUUAGAGGAGAAAAGCAACC